CCCUGGUGGUUCAAAUGGUAAAGAAUCUGCUUGUAAUGCAGGAGACCUAGGUUUGAUCCCUGGGUCAGGAA
rnacentral:tRNA from 1 species